rnacentral:rRNA from 1 species
AACCUCCGCAAUGUGAGAAAUCGCGACGGGGGAUCCCAAGUGCCAUUCUUAACGGGAUGGCUUUUCAUUAGUGUAAAGAGCUUUUGGAAUAAGAGCUGGGCAAGACCGGUGCCAGCCGCCGCGGUAACACCGGCAGCUCUAGUGGUAGCUGUUUUUAUUGGGCCUAAAGCGUUCGUAGCCGGUUUGAUAAGUCACUGGUGAAAUCCUGUAGCUUAACUGUGGGAAUUGCUGGUGAUACUGUUGAACUUGAGGUCGGGAGAGGUUAGCGGUACUCCCAGGGUAGAGGUGAAAUUCUGUAAUCCUGGGAGGACCGCCUGUUGCGAAGGCGUCUAACUGGAACGGUUCUGACGGUGAGGGACGAAAGUUAGGGGCUGAACCGGAUUAGAUACCCGGGUAGUCCUAACUGUAAACGAUGCGGACUUGGUGUUGGGGUGGCUUUGAGCUGCUCCAGUGCCGAAGGGAAGCUGUUAAGUCCGCCACCUGGGAAGUACGGUCGCAAGACUAAAACUUAAAGGAAUU